GGGUCUUGUAAUCGGAAUGAGUACAAUUUAAAUCCCUUAACGAGGAACAAUUGGAGGGCAAGUCUGGUGCCAGCAGCCGCGGUAAUUCCAGCUCCAAUAGCGUAUAUUAAAGUUGUUGUGGUUAAAAAGCUCGUAGUUGAACCUUGGGCCUGGCUGGCCGGUCCCCCUCACCGGGUGCACUGAUCCAGCCGGGCCUUUCCCUCUGUGGAACCUCAUGGCCUUCACUGGCUGUGCUGGGGAAACAGGACUUUUACUUUGAAAAAAUUAGAGUGCUCCAGGCAGGCCUAUGCUCGAAUACAUUAGCAUGGAAUAAUAGAAUAGGACGUGUGGUUCUAUUUUGUUGGUUUCUAGGACCGCCGUAAUGAUUAAUAGGGACAGUCGGGGGCAUCAGUAUUCAAUUGUCAGAGGUGAAAUUCUUGGAUCUAUUGAAGACUAACUACUGCGAAAGCAUUUGCCAAGGAUGUUUUCAUUGAUAAGGAACGAAAGUUAGGGGAUCGAAGACGAUCAGAUACCGUCGUAGUCUUAACUAUAAACUAUGCCGACUAGGGAUCGGACGAUGUUAUCUUUUGACGCGUUCGGCACCUUUCGAGAAAUCAAAGUGCUUGGGCUCCAGGGGGAGUAUGGUCGCAAGGCUGAAACUUAAAGAAAUUGACGGAAGGGCACCACCAGGGGUGGAACCUGCGGCUUAAUUUGACUCAACACGGGGAAACUCACCAGGUCCAGACACAGUGAA
rnacentral:rRNA from 1 species